rnacentral:rRNA from 1 species
UAGAAUUCCACGUGUAGCGGUGGAAUGCGUAGAGAUGUGGAGGAAUACCGGUGGCGAAGGCGGCCUUCUGGACAGAUACUGACGCUGAGAUGCGAAAGCGUGGGGAGCAAACAGGAUUAGAUACCCUGGUAGUCCACGCUGUAAACGAUGUCUAUUUGGAGUUUGUUGCCUAGAGUGAUGGGCUCCGAAGCUAACGCGAUAAAUCGACCGCCUGGGGAGUACGGCCGCAAGGUUAAAACUCAAAUGAAUUGACGGGGGCCCGCACAAGCGGUGGAGCAUGUGGUUUAAUUCGAUGCAACGCGAAGAACCUUACCUGGGUCUUGACAUCCACAGAAUCUUGCAGAGAUGCGAGAGUGCCUUCGGGAACUGUGAGACAGGUGCUGCAUGGCUGUCGUCAGCUCGUGUUGUGAAAUGUUGGGUUAAGUCCCGCAACGAGCGCAACCCUUAUCCUUUGUUGCCAGCGAUUCGGUCGGGAACUCAAAGGAGACUGCCGCUGAUAAAGCGGAGGAAGGUGGGGACGACGUCAAGUCAUCAUGGCCCUUACGACCAGGGCUACACACGUGCUACAAUGGCGUAUACAAAGGGAGGCGACCUCGCGAGAGCAAGCGGACCUCAUAAAGUACGUCUAAGUCCGGAUUGGAGUCUGCAACUCGACUCCAUGAAGUCGGAAUCGCUAGUAAUCGUGAAUCAGAAUGU